rnacentral:rRNA from 1 species
AACGCUAGCUACAGGCUUAACACAUGCAAGUCGAGGGGCAGCAUGAACUUAGCUUGCUAAGUUUGAUGGCGACCGGCGCACGGGUGAGUAACACGUAUCCAACCUGCCGAUGACUCGGGGAUAGCCUUUCGAAAGAAAGAUUAAUACCCGAUGGCAUAGUUCUUCCGCAUGGUAGAACUAUUAAAGAAUUUCGGUCAUCGAUGGGGAUGCGUUCCAUUAGGUUGUUGGCGGGGUAACGGCCCACCAAGCCUUCGAUGGAUAGGGGUUCUGAGAGGAAGGUCCCCCACAUUGGAACUGAGACACGGUCCAAACUCCUACGGGAGGCAGCAGUGAGGAAUAUUGGUCAAUGGGCGAGAGCCUGAACCAGCCAAGUAGCGUGAAGGAUGACGGCCCUAUGGGUUGUAAACUGCUUUUAUACAGGAAUAAAGUUAGCCACGUGUGGCUAUUUGUAGGUACUGUAUGAAUAAGGACCGGCUAAUUCCGUGCCAGCAGCCGCGGUAAUACGGAAGGUCCAGGCGUUAUCCGGAUUUAUUGGGUUUAAAGGGAGCGUAGGCCGUCUGUUAAGCGUAUUGUGAAAUGUAGAUGCUCAACAUCUGAAUUGCAGCGCGAACUGGCAGACUUGAGUGUGCGCAACGUAGGCGGAAUUCGUGGUGUAGCGGUGAAAUGCUUAGAUAUCACGAAGAACUCCGAUUG